rnacentral:tRNA from 1 species
GCAUUGGUGGUUCAGUGGUGAAAUUCUUACCUUCCAUGCAGGAGACCCAGGUUCAAGUUCUGGCCAACGCG